AUACGUAGGGGGCGAGCGUUGUCCGGAAUGAUUGGGCGUAAAGGGCGCGUAGGCGGCCUGUUAAGUCUGGAGUGAAAGUCCUGUUUUCAAGAUGGGAAUUGCUUUGGAUACUGAUGGGCUUGAGUGCAGGAGAGGUUAUCGGAAUUCCCGGUGUAGCGGUAAAAUGCGUAGAGAUCGGGAGGAACACCAGUGGCGAAGGCGGGUAACUGGACUGCAACUGACGCUGAGGCGCGAAAGUGUGGGGAGCAAACAGGAUUAGAUACCCUGGUAGUCCACACUGUAAACGAUGAAUGCUAGGUGUAAGAGGUAUCGACCCCUUUUGUGCCGGAGUCAACACAAUAAGCAUUCCGCCUGGGGAGUACGGCCGCAAGGUUGAAACUCAAAGGAAUUGACGGGG
rnacentral:rRNA from 1 species